GAAGUUGCGCAGUGGAAGAGCGACUGUCUGCUACGCAGAUUGGUUCCGGGUUCGAUUCCUGGCUGGUCA